UACGUAGGGUGCAAGCGUUGUCCGGAAUUACUGGGCGUAAAGCGCGUGUAGGCUGCUUCGCAAGUCGGAUGUGAAAGUCCUGGGCUCAACCCAGGAAGUGCAUUCGAAACUGCAGAGCUGGAGUCCUGGAGAGGAAGGCGGAAUUCUCGGUGUAGAGGUGAAAUUCGUAGAUAUCGAGAGGAACACCGGUGGCGAAGGCGGCCUUCUGGACAGUGACUGACGCUGAGACGCGAAAGCGUGGGGAGCAAACAGG
rnacentral:rRNA from 1 species